GAUAACGUGUUGUUAUUUUGCGUAGUGCGUCUGCGGAGCAUUCGCCAGCAACACUUCGCCGUUCGGUUGAGGCAGUCCAACCACACCUCAUUACGGAGUGAUUUUGUUUUAUCUGAGCCAGUGCUAAAGCGCUUGUGUUCCCGGAGCGUACACACCUGCGGGGAGAGUAUCGAUCAGACCGCAUCCUCUGGGCCCAAUUUAAGCACUCAAGGACCUGGCCGCGGUAAAUCCUGACGCCUUAUAAAAGAGAUUCAAAAAGCUGUUUCAAAAUGAGAAGAAAUCAUAAGCAUGGAGAAAGUCUACUCAGACUGAAACUAUCUUUUGUUGUGGUGAGCUUCAGCAUGAUUCGCCUAACCUUGCAGAAGAAACCAGCGCUCCUUGUCUUCAGCCUGUCAUGGCAGUGAAGGUACUUGCCCAUAAAUACGAGUGGUAUUUCAGCCAUAGUUAUACCUCUGGUCUUAAUGAGGGUGUGAUCUUCUGACUCAAAAUGCAGAUGGAGGCAAAAAAAAACAACUAGACACGUGCUGCUGUUGUGUGAAC